UACGGAGGGUGCAAGCGUUGUCCGGAAUCACUGGGCGUAAAGGGCGCGUAGGCGGCUCAUGAAGGCUGUGGUGAAAGUCCGGGGCUCAACCUCGGAUCGGCCGUGGCGACUCGUGGGCUGGAGCACUGUAGAGGCGGGUGGAAUUCCGGGUGUAGCGGUGGAAUGCAUAGAGAUCCGGAAGAACACCAGUGGCGAAGGCGGCCGGCUGGGGGUGUCCUGACGCUGAGGCGCGAGAGCGUGGGGAGCAAACCGG
rnacentral:rRNA from 1 species